GAUGAACGCUGGCGGCGUGCCUAAUACAUGCAAGUCGAGCGCGAGAGUGAGGAGCUUGCUCCUCAUGAUCGAGCGGCGGACGGGUGAGUAACACGUAGGCAACCUACCCUUGAGAUUGGGAUAACUACCGGAAACGGUAGCUAAUACCGGAUACGACUUUUCCACAUAAGUGGAAUGGUUAAAAGGCGGAUUUAUCUGCCGCUCAUGGAUGGGCCUGCGGUGCAUUAGCUAGUUGGUGAGGUAGUGGCUC
rnacentral:rRNA from 1 species